UAUUUCAGUUUUGCUUCAUAGUACAGUACACACAGUUGAAACUUUUAAAUGCUAAAACAGAAGGAUUCUGUUCAUGCAAUAACUAACCCGAUUAAUAUUUCAAAUGCUAUUCCAUACAGUAAAAAAUGAGUGUGUCAGUGUAUACUGUAGAUCCACUUGGUACAGGUCCUAUCUACACCUCCCUUUCUCAAACUGCCUCUGUAGGAUCUUUGCUGAGAAGCAGGGAGCAGCUUUUCCAGGUGCUGAGGGAGUGCUGGGUCUGCACUGUUGGACAGACUGACAUUAGGUGGGUGGCUGCCCUGCCACUGGAGAUCUGCAGCGAAGAUGUUGGUGGGAGCUUUCUCCAUCACCUAAGGUGAAACUGCCUCUUGUAAAGGUGCUGCUGUACAAAGGUGCAUGGAGGUACAGAUCCAUUGCUGUCGAGCAACUCUGACUGUGAAUACAUUUUAUAUGACUGUAUCUGAAGAAAUCAAGAAUGG
rnacentral:lncRNA from 1 species